ACAGCAGCAGCCGCGGUAAUACGGAGGGUGCAAGCGUUAAUCGGAAUUACUGGGCGUAAAGCGCACGCAGGCGGUCUGACAAGUCAGAUGUGAAAUCCCCGGGCUUAACCUGGGAACUGCAUUUGAAACUGUCAGGCUGGAGUCUUGUAGAGGGGGGUAGAAUUCCAGGUGUAGCGGUGAAAUGCGUAGAGAUCUGGAGGAAUACCGGUGGCGAAGGCGGCCCCCUGGACAAAGACUGACGCUCAGGUGCGAAAGCGUGGGGAGCAAACAGGAUUAGAUACCCGGGUAGUCCCUGUCUCUUAUAC
rnacentral:rRNA from 1 species